GAUGAACGCUAGCGGCAGGCCUAAUACAUGCAAGUCGAACGGUGUCUUCGGACAUAGUGGCGCACGGGUGCGUAACACGUAUGCAACCUACCUUACAUUGGGGGAUAGCCUUUCGAAAGGGAGAUUAAUACCGCAUAAGACAGUAGCUGGGCAUCCAGCAGCUGUUAAAGAUUUAUCGAUGUAAGCUGGGCAUGCGUCCAAUUAGCUAGUUGGUGAGGAAAGGGCUCACCAAGGCAAUGAUUGGUAGGGGAACUGAGAGGUCAAUCCCCCACACUGGAACUGAGAUUCGGGCCAGACUCCUACGGGAGGCAGCAGUAGGGAAUAUUGGGCAAUGGACGCAAGUCUGACCCAGCCAUGCCGCGUGCAGGAUGAAGGCGUUAUGCGUUGUAAACUGCUUUUAUACAGGAAGAAACGACUCUUGCGAGAGGCAUUGACGGUACUGUAUGAAUAAGCACCGGCUAACUCCGUGCCAGCCGCCGCCGUAAAAC
rnacentral:rRNA from 1 species